rnacentral:rRNA from 1 species
UACGGAGGAUUCGAGCGUUAUCCGGAUUUAUUAGGUUUAAAGGGUGCGUAGGCGGAUGAUUAAGUCAGUGGUGAAAUGCUAUAGCUCAACUAUAGAACUGCCAUUGAUACUGGUUGUCUUGAGUGUAACUGAGGUAGGCGGAAUGUGUAAUGUAGCGGUGAAAUGCAUAGAUAUUACACAGAACACCGAUUGCGAAGGCAGCUUACUAAAUUACAACUGACGCUGAUGCACGAAAGCGUGGGGAGCGAACAGG